GGGCAGUUAGCUCAGUUGGUAGAGCACCACGCUUACACCGUGGCUGUCAGGGGUUCGAGUCCCUUACUGCCCA
rnacentral:tRNA from 2 species